rnacentral:tRNA from 1 species
GGUUCCAUAGUGUAGCGGUUAGCACGUCUCCUUUAUACGCAGAAAUUCCUGGGUUCGCACCCCAGUGGAGCCA